rnacentral:rRNA from 1 species
GACGAACGCUGGCGGCGUGCUUAACACAUGCAAGUCGAACGGGCCCGCCCCUGUUUUUGGGGGUGGGUUGAGUGGCGAACGGGUGAGUAUCACGUGAGUAACCUGCCCCCUGCUCCUGGAUAACUGCUUGAAAGGGCGGCUAAUACGGGGUGUGCCGGCUGGUCCGCAUGGGCCUGGUCGGGAUAGUUUCAUCUUCGGGUGUUUCGGUGGGGGAUGGGCUCGCGGCCUAUCAGCUUGUUGGUGGGGUGAUGGCCCACCAAGGCGGUGACGGGUAGCCGGCCUGAGAGGGUGGGCGGCCACACUGGGACUGAGACACGGCCCAGACUCCUGCGGGAGGCAGCGGUGGGGGGUAUUGCACAAUGGGCGGAAGCCUGAUGCAGCGACGGCGCGUGAGGGAUGGAGGCCUUCGGGUUGUGAACCUCUUUCUCCGGUGGUGAAGGCCCUGUCCGUUGCGGCGGGGUUGACGGUAGCCGGGUAUGAAGCGCCGGCUAACUACGUG